rnacentral:rRNA from 1 species
GAUGAACGCUGGCGGCGUGCCUAAUACAUGCGAGUCGAGCGAACAGACGAGGAGCUUGCUCCUCUGACGUUAGCGGCGGACGGGUGAGUAACACGUGGAUAACCUACCUAUAAGACUGGGAUAACUUCGGGAAACCGGAGCUAAUACCGGAUAAUAUAUUGAACCGCAUGGUUCAAUAGUGAAAGACGGUUUUGCUGUCACUUAUAGAUGGAUCCGCGCCGCAUUAGCUAGUUGGUAAGGUAACGGCUUACCAAGGCGACGAUGCGUAGCCGACCUGAGAGGGUGAUCGGCCACACUGGAACUGAGACACGGUCCAGACUCCUACGGGAGGCAGCAGUAGGGAAUCUUCCGCAAUGGGCGAAAGCCUGACGGAGCAACGCCGCGUGAGUGAUGAAGGUCUUCGGAUCGUAAAACUCUGUUAUUAGGGAAGAACAAAUGUGUAAGUAACUAUGCACGUCUUGACGGUACCUAAUCAGAAAGCCACGGCUAACUACGCG